GGACGGUUAACUAUCUGGAGAUAGUAGCGGCCUCAUAAGCCGCCAUAGGUGAGUUCGAUCCUCACACCGUCUA
rnacentral:tRNA from 2 species